UACGCACAAGGAAAAUUUCGCUGGGUACAGUUUAUUAUCCUAAGCUAUAAUUGAAACUCCCUUCCUCUCCCCCUUCUUUUAUUUAAUUCUUCCUGUUGAUAACUAAUAACUAAGAGUGGUGUUGUUAAUUGAAAUUAAAUAAAUAAAAUAUUCUGUCAUCUUUGCUUUAUAACAAUAAGCUAACCUAAUGAAAUUAGCUUAUUGUGACCUUGUGCAUGUGCACCUAUGCAUACUCAUAUUUGGAUGCAUGUUUCUGUAAUGGAGCACAUGCCCUUUCCUUGAAUGCACUGCUUACAAAGUUUCUCAUACAUCCUUGUUAUUUCCAUUGAAUAACUAGAGUAAUAGGGAUUCAAGGGUGUCUACUGUAACUUUAAUUGAAGAUUUUGGUUUCGCAAAACAAUCCUGGAAAAAUGCUGUCCUGUACGUUCUUUCUCCGGUAGGCAAUAUCGGAUAUGGCUCAGGACUCAGGACUCAGAAUCCUAUUGUUAUUGACCUUACUAUCUAAUUUUUUAUUGAAAAUUUUGUUGUUAAAUUGUUUAUUUAUGAAGUUUGUUUUUUCUUCUCCAGUCUUUAUUCACAUAUACAUUUUUCACAUUUUGACUUUAUCAAUUUGCAUUUUUCUAGUGUUGAUGUGGUUUACUCGGGUG
rnacentral:misc_RNA from 1 species